CAGCAGCCGCGGUAAAACGGAGGGGGCUAGCGUUGUUCGGAAUUACUGGGCGUAAAGCGCACGUAGGCGGCUUGGUAAGUUAGAGGUGAAAGCCUGGAGCUCAACUCCAGAAUUGCCUUUAAGACUGCCGAGCUAGCGGUGAGAGAGGUAAGUGGAAUUCCGAGUGUAGAGGUGAAAUUCGUAGAUAUUCGGAAGAACACCAGUGGCGAAGGCGGCUUACUGGCUCAUACUGGACGCUGAGGUGCGAAAGCGUGGGGAGCAAACAGGAUUAGAUACCCCCGUAGUCCCUGUCUCUUAUACC
rnacentral:rRNA from 1 species